GAGUUUGAUCGUGGCUCAGAAUCAACGCUGGCGGCGUGCCUAACACAUGCAAGUCGAACGAGAAAGUGGAGCAAUCCAUGAGUACAGUGGCGACCGGGUGAGUAACACGUGACUACCUACCCUUGAGUGGGGGAUAACCUCGGGAAACCGAGGCUAAUACCGCAUAAUAUCGAGAGAUCAAAGGAGAAAUCCGCUUUUGGAGGGGGUCGCGGCUGAUUAGCUAGUUGGUGAGGUAAUGGCCCACCAAGGCGAAGAUCGGUAUCCGGCCUGAGAGGGCGCACGGACACACUGGAACUGAAACACGGUCCAGACUCCUACGGGAGGCAGCAGUGGGAAUUUUGCGCAAUGGGGGAAACCCUGACGCAGCAACGCCGCGUGGAGGAUGAAGCCCCUUGGGGUGUAAACUCCUUUCGACCGGGAAAAUAAUGAUGGUACCGGUGGAAGAAGCACCGGCUAACUCUGUGCCAGCCGCCGACGGU
rnacentral:rRNA from 1 species